rnacentral:tRNA from 2 species
GGGGCUGUGGCGCAGUUGGUAGCGCGUCUCGUUCGCAACGAGAAGGUCGCCGGUUCGAAUCCGGUCAGCUCCA